AAGAAAUUAGUUAAAAAAUAACAUUAGUAUGUCAAAUUAAAAUUAUUAAUAUAUUUAAUAUUUCUUU
rnacentral:tRNA from 1 species